UACGAAGGGGGCUAGCGUUGCUCGGAAUUACUGGGCGUAAAGGGAGCGUAGGCGGACAUUUAAGUCAGGGGUGAAAUCCCGGAGCUCAACUCCGGAACUGCCUUUGAUACUGGGUGUCUUGAGUGUGAGAGAGGUAUGUGGAACUCCGAGUGUAGAGGUGAAAUUCGUAGAUAUUCGGAAGAACACCAGUGGCGAAGGCGACAUACUGGCUCAUUACUGACGCUGAGGCUCGAAAGCGUGGGGAGCAAACAGGAUUAGAUACCCUGGUAGUCCACGCCGUAAGCGAUGAUUGCUAGUUGGCGGGAAGCUUGCUUCUCGGUGACGCAGCUAACGCAUUAAGCAAUCCGCCUGGGGAGUACGGUCGCAAGAUUAAA
rnacentral:rRNA from 1 species